AGGCCUACGGGGGGCAGCAGUGAGGAAUAUCGGUCAAUGGGCGCGAGCCUGAACCAGCCAAGUAGCGUGAAGGAUGACUGCCCUACGGGUUGUAAACUUCUUUUAUAAAGGAAUAAAGUGAGGCACGUGUGCCUUUUUGUAUGUACUUUAUGAAUAAGGAUCGGCUAACUCCGUGCCAGCAGCCGCGGUAAUACGGAGGAUCCGAGCGUUAUCCUGAUUUAUUGGGUUUAAAGGGUGCGUAGGCGGCGCUUCAGGUCAGCGGUGAAAUACCGGGGCUCAACCCCGGGGCUGCCGUUGAAACCGGG
rnacentral:rRNA from 1 species